ensembl:lncRNA
UCAUGGGCUCUUCUCCAUUAAGCUCUUCCGUCUCUGAGAGUAGUGAUCGUGAUAGUAUUAGAGCAUUACACGCAAUACAAAUAAUUGUAAAAAUACAACAAAUAAAAAAGUUGAUCGUCUCAGGGAAGUGAGGCUGCAGCUUCUCCAGAUCUGUAUCGGAUGGAUCAUUCCGAUACAGAUCUAUUAGCAGCACACAACAUGGACUACAAUGAACCGAAAGCAAUGUCAAUUGUGCUUGUCUACGUGUGAAGGGCAAUCGCAGCGCCAUCGAAACUACCUAGUGGGACUGGUAUGUCCAGUUUGAUCCACCUGGUCGAGACUCCGCCAAUCAUAAACGUGCCACACAGAGCCAUUAUUUACAAAAGAUGGAAUCCAAGAAGAAACCAUUCUUCUUAAAGUUCCUGCAGCCGAAGAAGGCAGGUAAAAAGAAAGGGGG